rnacentral:rRNA from 1 species
GGGUAGGGGGGAUAUAAGUUGCUCCUGGCUCAACAGACGAAGAUCUUGCUCCUUAAGACUUUAGCGGCGGAGGGGUGAGUAACACGUGGGUAACCUACCUAUAAGAGUGGGAUAACUUCGGGAAACCGGAUCUAAUACCGGAUAAUAUUUCGAACCGCAUGGUUCGAUAGUGAAAGAUGGCUUUGCUAUCACUUAUAGAUGGACCUGCGCCGUAUUAGCUAUUUGGUAAGGUAACGGCUUACCAGGGCAACGAUACGUAGCCGACCUGAGAGGGUGAUCGGCCACACUGGAACUGACACACGGUCCAGACUCCUACGGGAGGCAGCAGUGGGGAAUCUUCCGCAGUGGGCGAAAGCCUGACAGAGCCACGCCGCGUGAGUGAUGAAGGUCUUCAGAUCAUAAAACUCUGUUAUUAGGGAAGAACAAACGUGUAAGUAACUGUGCACGUCUUGACGGUACCUAAUCAGAAAGCCACGGCUAACUACGUGCCAGCAGCCGCGGUAAUACGUAGGUGGCAAGCGUUAUCCGGAAUUAUUGGGCGUAAAGCGCGCGUAGGCGGUUUUUUAAGUCUGAUGUGAAAGCCCACGGCUCAACCGUGGAGGGUCAUUGGAACCUGGAAAACUUGAGUGCAGAAGAGGAAAGUGGAAUUCCGUGUGUAGCGGUGAAAUGCGCAGAGAUAUGGAAGAACACCAGUGGCGAACGCGACUUUCUGGUCUGUAACUGACGCUGAUGUGAGAAAGCGUGGAGAUCAAACAGGAUUAGAUACCCUGGUACUCCACGCCGUACACGAUGAGUGCUACGUGUUAGGGGCUUCCCGCCCCUUAGUGCUGCAGCUAACGCAUUAAGCACUCCGCCUGGGGAAUACGACCGCAAGGUUGAAUCUCAAAGGAAUUGACGGGGACCCGCACAAGCGGGUGGUAGCAUGUGGUUUUUAAUUCGAAGCAACGCGGAGAACCUUACCAAAUCUUGACAUCCUUUGACCCUUCUAGAGAUAGAAGUUUCCCCUUCGGGGGACAAAGUGACAGGUGGUGCAUGGUUGUCGUCAGCUCGUGUCGUGAGAUGUUGGGUUAAGUCCCGCAACGAGCGCAACCCUUAAGCUUAGUUGCCAUCAUUAAGUUGGGCACUCUAAGUUGACUGCCGGUGACAAACCGGAGGAAGGUGGGGAUGACGUCAAAUCAUCAUGCCCCUUAUGAUUUGGGCUACACACGUGCUACAAUGGACAAUACAAAGGGCAGCGAAACCGCGAGGUCAAGCAAAUCCCAUAAAGUUGUUCUCAGUUCGGAUUGUAGUCUGCAACUCGACUACAUGAAGCUGGAAUCGCUAGUAAUCGUAGAUCAGCAUGCUACGGUGAAUACGUUCCCGUGUCUUGUACACACCGCCCGUCACACCACGAGAGUUAUAUCAUAGAGAAUGCUCCCUGGACUUCAGUCAGUCGUAACAAGGUAUCUUAGAGUUCCUCC